AGAGUUUGAUCCUGGCUCAGGACGAACGCUGGUGGCGUGCCUAACACAUGCAAGUCCAGGAGAAAAGGUUUCUUCGGAGGCCUGAGUAAACUGGCGAACGGGUGAGUAACACGUAGGUAACCUGCCCUUGGAUUGGGGAUAACACUGCUAACGCGGUGCUAAUACCGAAUAAUGCAGCGGAUCCGCAUGGAUCUGCUGUUAAAGCUGGCCUCUACAUGUAAGCUAGCGUCUGAGGAUGGACCUGCGUCCCAUUAGUUUGUUGGCGGGGUAACGGCCCACCAAGACUACGAUGGGUAGCCGGCCUGAGAGGGUGACCGGCCACACUGGGACUGAGAUACGGCCCAGACUCCUACGGGAGGCAGCAGUGAGGAAUAUUGCGCAAUGGCCGAAAGGCUGACGCAGCAACGCCGCGUGAGGGAUGAAGUUCUUAGGAAUGUAAACCUCUGUUAGAGGGGACGAACAGGCGAUUAUCGAACAGGUGGUCGCUUUGACGGUACCUUCAGAGAAAGCCCCGGCUAACUCCGUGCCAGCAGCCGCGGUAACACGGGGGGGGCAAGCGUUGUCCGGAAUUAUUGGGCGUAAAGGGCGCGUAAGUGGGAUGAUUAGUCCGAGGUGCAAACUUACGGCUUAACUGUAAGCUUGCCUUGGAAACUGUCAUUCUUGAGUUCGGGAGAGGGAAAUGGAAUUCCUGGUGUAGCGGUGAAAUGCGUAGAUAUCAGGAAGAACACCGGUGGCGAAGGCGGUUUCCUGGCCCGAUACUGACACUGAGGCGCGAAAGUGCGGGGAGCAAACAGGAUUAGAUACCCUGGUAGUCCGCACUGUAAACGAUGGACACUAGGUGUUGGUCUCUAUGAGAUCAGCGCCGCAGCUAACGCAUUAAGUGUCCCGCCUGGGGUGUACGACCGCAAGGUUGAAACUCAAAGGAAUUGACGGGGGCCCGCACAAGCGGUGGAGCAUGUGGUUUAAUUCGAUGCUACGCGAAAAACCUUACCUGGGCUUGAACUGCAGACGUAACCCCAUGAAAGUGGGUCCUCCUUCGGGACGGCUGUAGAGGUGCUGCAUGGCUGUCGUCAGCUCGUGCCGUGAGGUGUUGGGUUAAGUCCCGCAACGAGCGCAACCCCUGUCCUUAGUUGCCAUCAGGUAAUGCUGGGAACUCUAGGGAGACUGCCCCAGACAAUGGGGAGGAAGGUGGGGAUGACGUCAAGUCCUCAUGGCCCUUACGUCCAGGGCUACACACGUGCUACAAUGGUCGGUACAGAGGGAAGCAAGACCGCGAGGUGGAGCAAAUCCUAAAGACCGACCUCAGUUCAGAUUGUAGUCUGCAACUCGACUGCAUGAAGUCGGAAUCGCUAGUAAUCGCGGAUCAGCAUGCCGCGGUGAAUACGUUCCCGGGCCUUGUACACACCGCCCGUCACGCCAUGGAAGCCGAUAGCACCCGAAGCCGGUGGCCUAACCCGAAAGGGCAGGAGCCGUCUAAGGUGAGAUUGGUGACUGGGGCGAAGUCGUAACGAGGUA
rnacentral:rRNA from 1 species